rnacentral:rRNA from 1 species
UACACACCGCCCGUCACACCACGAAAGUCGGCUGUACUAGAAAUCGCCGCGCUAACCCGCAAGGGGGGCAGGUGCUUAAGGUAUGGUCAGUGAUUGGGGUG